rnacentral:rRNA from 1 species
GAUGAACGCUGGCGGCGUGCCUAAUACAUGCAAGUCGAGCGAACGGACGAGAAGCUUGCUUCUCUGAUGUUAGCGGCGGACGGGUGAGUAACACGUGGAUAACCUACCUAUAAGACUGGGAUAACUUCGGGAAACCGGAGCUAAUACCGGAUGAUAUUUUGAACCGCAUGGUUCAAACGUGAAAGACGGUCUUGCUGUCACUUAUAGAUGGAUCCGCGCUGCAUUAGCUAGUUGGUAAGGUAACGGCUUACCAAGGCAACGAGGCAUAGCCGACCUGAGAGGGUGAUCAGCCACACUGGAACUGAGACACGGUCCAGACUCCUACGGGAGGCAGCAGUAGGGAAUCUUCCGCAAUGAGCGAAAGCCUGACGUAGCAACGCGGCGAGAGUGAUGAAGGUCCACGGAUCGUAAAACUCUGUUAUUAGGGAAGAACAUAUGUGUAAGUAACUGUGCACAUCUUGACGGUACCGAAGCAGAAAGCCACGGCUAACUACGU